CAGCUCUCGUGUACCUUUACUUUCCUGUAGCUCUUUGUGCACUGUAAGAAAUGAUUCUGUGGUCAUGUAGAUUUGAAUUAAUGUAUUAGGUAAAAUAUAUUCAAUAUGAUUGUG